AAAGUUUAAAGAUAUUUGUGUUUUUGUAUUGCUACCGGACUAUUUCUUGGCCAAAACCAGUAAUUUCCUCAAGUCUCAGUUAGUUCAACUGCUUAGAGAUACUUUGGCACAUAACCUCCCAUAAAACUACAAAUUAUUCUUCUUUUUGUACGGAUUGAACAAAUGAGAUGCAUGUUAAUUAGCGAGCUUUAGAAGUACUGGUAGGUGGUUUCGGUUGUUCGGACAGAGCCAGGCUAGUUGUUGUCUUUAUGCUAGGCGUUGGCUUCACUGUACCGACAUGAGUGGUAUAAUCUUCUCAUUUAAUUCUCUGGAAGAAAGUGAAUAAGCCUACUUCCCAAAAUGUCGGGUUAUUCCUUUAAGUGUUCUUGUGCACCUGAUGGAGAUGGAAUAAUAGUCCUGAGUCUUCUUAACCUGUGGAAACUUCCAGCAACAGAAACUGAAAAAGUGACCAUGGGCAGAUCCCAUGGUUAAAGGGAAAUCAAUAAGUUUAAAAGUUGUUUCUGGAAUUUACCACAACUCCUUUCCUGCAAUAAGUCUCUCUCUCUCUAUUUAAACCACUUAGAAGCAGAUAUGCAGCAACUGGCUCACUUCACUCUUCCUGAUCUCCUUUCCAGCCAGUUAUAAUUAUCUCGCUUUAAUCAGACAGUGUUGACCUCACUAAAAUACAUACAUGCAUAUAAAGUUCCUUAUAUGUGCCUCUGACACUCACCAGCAACGUGUGACCGACUGUGAUCAAGUUUGUAAUGUCUGGUUGUUGUUUUAGAGAAAAAACGGUCUGUUUGCAUGGCACAGAGUGAAAAAAUGGCUGAGUAAUGUACUUCCUCCCGCAUUCUAAAGGGACGUUAAUAGUCAGUUUUUUAUGUAUUUGUGUGAGAUUAAAGAAUAGUGCGCUCCCCAGACAUCUGUCAUCUGCAUGUUAUGUCCCUGCCAUGCCCGCAUCCGUGUAUCUUUGUGCCAUGACCCGUUUCAUCACUUCCUGUCUGCAGUGUAACCAGCUGCCUUAUUACUGUUAACUGUUUACAAAACCUCACUUACUGGAACUGCUGCUAGUAGCACAACCAAUUUAACUCGGAUGAGUCCCUCCUUUGCUGUUACCAAUACUUCCUUUACUUCACUCCAGCUGUGUGAACUAUAGCUCCUGACAAUAAUAAUACUCUCCUCACUCAACACUCCCCCAAAAAGAAGCUGGCAAGGUCGAGAGAAAAGUCCAUAUGUGAUUUUUAUCCAAUUUUGUCAACCUGCUAAAUCCCAAAUAUGCAUGAGCGUGGAAGUGGAACAUUAUUAUAGUAAGUGCCGACCUGUCCUGUUCCCCAGCUGUUAACUGUACAUCCCUGUUGAAGCGCUAAUAAAGAACUGGUGAAAGAAAUCACCCUUUAUCCAA